AACGAACGCUGGCGGCAUGCCUAACACAUGCAAGUCGAACGAGACCUUCGGGUCUAGUGGCGCACGGGUGCGUAACGCGUGGGAAUCUGCCCUUGGGUUCGGAAUAACAGUUGGAAACGACUGCUAAUACCGGAUGAUGACGUAAGUCCAAAGAUUUAUCGCUCAGGGAUGAGCCCGCGUAGGAUUAGCUAGUUGGUGGGGUAAAGGCCUACCAAGGCGACGAUCCUUAGCUGGUCUGAGAGGAUGAUCAGCCACACUGGGACUGAGACACGGCCCAGACUCCUACGGGAGGCAGCAGUGGGGAAUAUUGGACAAUGGGCGAAAGCCUGAUCCAGCAAUGCCGCGUGAGUGAUGAAGGCCUUAGGGUUGUAAAACUCUUUUACCCGGGAUGAUAAUGACAGUACCGGGAGAAUAAGCCCCGGCUAACUCCGUG
rnacentral:rRNA from 1 species